CAGGUAUCCUGAGUGCAGGCCGUGCCAGAA
rnacentral:piRNA from 1 species